UCGAGAAUCAUUCGCAAUGGGCGAAAGCCUGACGAUGCGACGCUGUGUGUGCGAUGAAGGCCUUCGGGUUGUAAAGCACUUUCGCUUGGGAACAAGGGAUAUUGGCUAAUAUCCAAUAAACUUGAGGGUACCAGGUAAAGAAGCACCGGCUAACUCCGUGCCAGCAGCUGCGGUAAUACGGAGGGUGCGAGCAUUAAUCGGAUUUAUUGGGCGUAAAGGGCGCGUAGGCGGGAACGUAAGUCAGAUGUGAAAUCCCGGGGCUCAACCCCGGAACAGCAUUUGGUACUGCGUUUCUAGAGGGUAGGCGGAGAAAAUGGAAUUCCACAAGUAGCGGUGAAAUGCGUAGAUAUGUGGAAGAACACCGGUGGCGAAGGCGAUUUUCUAGCUUAUACCUGACGCUGAGGCGCGAAAGCAAGGGGAUCAAACA
rnacentral:rRNA from 1 species